UGUUAUGGGACAAAAUCCAGAAGAGAUUUUGUA
rfam:Meyerozyma guilliermondii ATCC 6260 hypothetical protein (PGTG_02606) partial mRNA